GACGAACGCUGGCGGCGUGCUUAACACAUGCAAGUCGAACGAAGAGCGAUGGAAGCUUGCUUCUCUCAAUCUUAGUGGCGAACGGGUGAGUAACGCGUAAUCAACCUGCCCUUCAGAGGGGGACCACAGUUGGAAACGACUGCUAAUACCGCAUACGAUCUAAUCUCGGCAUCGAGGAUAGAUGAAAGGUGGCCUCUACAUGUAAGCUAUCACUGAAGGAGGGGAUUGCGUCUGAUUAGCUAGUUGGAGGGGUAACGGCCCACCAAGGCGAUGAUCAGUAGCCGGUCUGAGAGGAUGAACGGCCACAUUGGGACUGAGACACGGCCCAGACUCCUACGGGAGGCAGCAGUGGGGAAUCUUCCGCAAUGGACGAAAGUCUGACGGAGCAACGCCGCGUGAGUGAUGACGGCCUUCGGGUUGUAAAGCUCUGUUAAUCGGGACGAAAGGCCUUCUUGCGAAUAGUGAGAAGGAUUGACGGUACCGGAAUAGAAAGCCACGGCUAACUACGUG
rnacentral:rRNA from 1 species